ACGAACGCUGGCGGCGUGCUUAACACCUGCAAGUCGAACGGAAAGGCCCUGCUUUUGUGGGGUGCUCGAGUGGCGAACGGGUGAGUAACACGUGAGUAACCUGCCCUUGACUUUGGGAUAACUUCAGGGAACUGGGGCUAAUACCGGAUAGGAGCUCCUGCUGCAUGGUGGGGGUUGGAAAGUUUCGGCGGUUGGGGAUGGACUCGCGGCUUAUCAGCUUGUUGGUGGGGUAGUGGCUUACCAAGGCUUUGACGGGUAGCCGGCCUGAGAGGGUGACCGGCCACAUUGGGACUGAGAUACGGCCCAGACUCCUACGGGAGGCAGCAGUGGGGAAUAUUGCACAAUGGGCGGAAGCCUGAUGCAGCAACGCCGCGUGCGGGAUGACGGCCUUCGGGUUGUAAACCGCUUUCGCCUGUGACGAAGCGUGAGUGACGGUAAUGGGUAAAGAGGCACCGGCUAACUACGUG
rnacentral:rRNA from 1 species